rnacentral:rRNA from 1 species
GGGAGNANCCCGCCGGCGGCCAGCCAAACUCUGUUUCUAUAGUGGAUCUCUGAGUAAAAAACAUAAAUGAAUCAAAACUUUCAACAACGGAUCUCUUGGUUCUGGCAUCGAUGAAGAACGCAGCGAAAUGCGAUAAGUAAUGUGAAUUGCAGAAUUCAGUGAAUCAUCGAAUCUUUGAACGCACAUUGCGCCCUCUGGUAUUCCGGAGGGCAUGCCUGUUCGAGCGUCAUUUCAACCCUCAAGCCUGGCUUGGUGAUGGGGCACUGCCUGUGAAAGGGCAGGCCCUGAAAUCUAGUGGCGAGCUCGCCAGGACCCCGAGCGUAGUAGUUACAUCUCGCUCUGGGAGGCCCUGGCGGUGCCCUGCCGUUAAACCCCCAACUUCUGAAAAUUUGACCUCGGAUCAGGUAGGAAUACCCGCUGAACUUAAGCAUAUCAAUAAGCGGAGGA